rnacentral:rRNA from 1 species
UACGUAGGGGGCAAGCGUUGUCCGGAUUUAUUGGGCGUAAAGAGCGUGUAGGCGGCCAAGCAGGUCCGCUGUGAAAACUCGAGGCUCAACCUCGAGACGUCGGUGGAAACCGUUUGGCUAGAGUCCGGAAGAGGAGAGUGGAAUUCCCGGUGUAGCGGUGAAAUGCGCAGAUAUCAGGAGGAACACCGGUGGCGAAGGCGGGUCUCUGGGCCAUAACUGACGCUGAGGAGCGAAAGCGUGGGGAGCGAACAGG